rnacentral:rRNA from 1 species
GACAGAGGGUGCAAACGUUGUUCGGAAUUACUGGGCGUAAAGCGAGUGUAGGCGGUUUGGAAAGUCGGAUGUGAAAGCCCCGGGCUCAACCCGGGAAGUGCACUCGAUACUCCCAAGCUAGAGUAUGGGAGAGGUUGGUGGAAUUCUCGGUGUAGAGGUGAAAUUCGUAGAUAUCGAGAGGAACACCGGUGGCGAAGGCGGCCAACUGGACCAAUACUGACGCUCAGGCACGAAAGCGUGGGGAGCAAACAGG